rnacentral:rRNA from 1 species
UACGUAGGGGGCAAGCGUUGUCCGGAAUUAUUGGGCGUAAAGAGCGUGUAGGCGGUCCGGUAAGUCAGCUGUGAAAGUCAAGGGCUCAACCCUUGAAAGCCGGUUGAUACUGUCGGGCUAGAGUCCGGAAGAGGCGAGUGGAAUUCCCGGUGUAGCGGUGAAAUGCGCAGAUAUCGGGAGGAACACCAAGGCGAAGGCAGCUCGCUGGGGACGGUACUGACGCUGAGACGCGAAAGCGUGGGGAGCAAACAGGG